GAUAAAGCUCCGGUCGUCACUCGAUCCAUCCAGACUCUUCGCUCACGUUCGCGUUUGCUCUCUCUUCUCGUUGCUGAGCACGUCGCUUGCCGCUGCUCCUGCCGUCGCCCGCGUGAGCCGCCGUGCGCCGCACGCUGCUGCCGCCGCGCCGUCCGCCGACCGAGCCUGGCCUGCCGUCGCCGUCCUGCUCACCGCGUGCCUACGCCACCGCGCCUCGUGCUGUCCGCCUGCCGCGCGCGCGCCGCAUGCAGCUGCGCGCCACUUGCCGCCGUGCUUUGUGCCGGCUGCUGUGUUUUGUGCUGGCCGCCGUGAGAGAAGGAAGAAGCAAGCCACAGAGCCAGCGCAGGAAGAAGAAGCCAGGAAAGAGAAAGGAAGAAAGAAGAAAAAGGGGAAAGUUGGAAAUUUCGGAUUUUCGUCGGAUUCGUCGUCAAUUUUUCGAAGGCGAUUUCUCGGUGGUACUAUUUCUGGACGUUCUUGAUCGAAAUUUUCUUCAUCGUCGGUAAAGGCAAGUGAAUGUAUUGUAUGACUACGCUUUAACCUGUUAUUAGGUUACCUACAUUCUUUAAUUACAAUGCAUUCAUCUGAUCUGAAUAACUGAUUAUGAGCUGGUUACUAUGCUGUUUACUUUUCCAGAAGUUUACUCGAUGAUUGAUCUAUGAAGUGCAGUAAGUACGAUAUGCCAUUCUGCAGUUGUUCAUUAUUGUUUUAUGCAAUGUUGUUUUAAGUCUCAAGCAUUUUUCGGGAGUUAUGUCGGUUAUGCUUGAAGCACGUCAUACGUAUAUAUCUCAUGCAUUGGAAGUUUGUCGUCGUCUUCUGGCCGCGACCGUACCGGUACAGUACCGUAUGUCACCCGAGGAGGGGUACGGUGCACACCCUUACGUUACCCGAGGAGGGGUAAGGGUGACCCUUACGUUACCCGAGGAGGGGUAAGGGUGAGAAGAUCAUAUCAUACGCAUGGUUAUGUCUUCUUAGGGUAUGGUGCACACCCUUACGUUACCCGAGGAGGGGUAAGGGUAAGGAGAGCAUAUCAUGUACAUGGUUGUCUUCUUAUGGAAUUCAAUGAAUCAUUCGCAUCGAAUUUUAUUUCCUUUAAGUUAGCUUGUAUAUAGAUAUAUAUGCGGCUCUGAAGGCUUAUACCAAUCGAUUGUUAAAAUAUUUAAUGUUAUUGUUGGACUUGCUUAGUCAGAAUUAUUUCUCCUAGUGGUGGCGGUCUGUUUCAUUACUAGUUUCUAUUUAGAAUUGUUAGCACAUUCAACUGUGGCUAAAUAGUUUUUUGUUAAAGUACCUUUCACUUGCUGAGAUUUUCGAAUCUCACCCGUGCUUUCUUUACAGGUAUGUUUAGAUGUUAACGUGCAUUUUGGGGAUGGAUCUUGGUAGCUGCACACACUACCUCAUCACCAUGUUGAUAGCUCAACCGGUGUUAUAAAUGGUGUUUUUGGUGGUCUGUCGUUUGCUUGGUUCAUGUUGUGGUGAGACGCUGGUAGCGUCGUGAAGGUUAUAUAUAUGCUGGUUAUAUC